rnacentral:lncRNA from 1 species
UUGGGAUAAACCUUUCAAAAGCAAUUAUUACAAGAAACAAAUUGAAAGCAAUGAUGGUAUAAGAUAUAGAUCAUUGUCUUGUCAAUCAAGUUAAUAAUUAAACGAAAAGGCUACAGAAGUAGUAGUAGAAGCUGAUGAUGAAAACGAAGACAAAGUUGUGUCACAAGUGUGUCUUACACUUUUUUUUUUUUUUUGAUCAACUGUGUCUUACACUAUCUGUCUUGGAAACUGGGGAUUGCCUAAUGGCCUUUUGAGCUUUUGUUUCAGUCACUACCGAAUUCUCUCUCUCUGUAUUGGCAGCUUUAGUCCCAAAUCUAUUCAAAACAUGCAAUGAUAUUGGGCGAAGAAACUUCUCACAAUCCAUGACCCUUGAGGUCUUGAAUCUCCUUUCACUAUAUUUUUUUCCAUUGCACGGCUGAUAUCUAAAUAUAAUUAUUAUUUAUUUACAUAUUAUCAAGAGGCAACACCAGUAUUUCUAAAUAUAAUUGUAGGUAUUAAAUUACAUGUCUUAUUUAGGCCAUCAAUAAUGUAUUUUAAAAGAAGAAAUAUAAUUGGGUUGAAAUAGAUUUGAUUUUAAUAUAAGAGUGAGUUAGAAAUCCCCUAUAUAUUAUUUGAGAAGCAUUGCAACAUUUUUUUUGUAUCCAUGUGUCAUCACUAAAAUGAUUCUUAAAAUCCUUAGAGAAAUAGGUUGGUUCAUCUAAAUAUAUA